rnacentral:rRNA from 1 species
AGAGAGGGAGCUUGCUUCCUUGAUCGAGUGGCGAACGGGUGAGUAACGCGUGAGGAACCUGCCUCAAAGAGGGGGACAACAGUUGGAAACGACUGCUAAUACCGCAUGACGCAUGACCGGGGCAUCCCGGACAUGCCAAAGAUUUAUCGCUUCAAGAUGGCCUCGCGUCUGAUUAGCUAGUUGGCGGGGUAACGGCCCACCAAGUCGACGAUCAGUAGCCGACCUGAGAGGGUGACCGGCCACAUUGGGACUGAGACACGGCCCAAACUCC